rnacentral:tRNA from 1 species
GGGCGCGUAGCUCAGUUGGCCAGAGCGCAUGCUUGACAUGCAUGAGGUCACAGGUUCAAGUCCUGUCGCGCCCA